rnacentral:pre_miRNA from 1 species
GGAUGUAUUGCUGGGCAACUCUUCGUUGGCAGUUGUUUGCUAAAUGCUUCAGAGUAAUUCCACAACACCAACAUCAGCUCACUGCCAAAGAAGAUUUGCCCGGUAAUUUGUCC